rnacentral:rRNA from 1 species
AUUGAACGCUGGCGGCAGGCCUAACGCAUGCAAGUCGAGCGGAUGAAGGGAGCUUGCUCCUGGAUUCAGCGGCGGACGGGUGAGUAAUGCCUAGGAAUCUGCCUGGUAGUGGGGGAUAACGUCCGGAAACGGGCGCUAAUACCGCAUACGUCCUGAGGGAGAAAGUGGGGGAUCUUCGGACCUCACGCUAUCAGAUGAGCCUAGGUCGGAUUAGCUAGUUGGUGGGGUAAAGGCCUACCAAGGCGACGAUCCGUAACUGGUCUGAGAGGAUGAGCAGUCACACUGGAACUGAGACACGGUCCAGACUCCUACGGGAGGCAGCAGUGGGGAAUAUUGGACAAUGGGCGAAAGCCUGAUCCAGCCAUGCCGCGUGUGUGAAGAAGGUCUUCGGAUUGUAAAGCACUUUAAGUUGGGAGGAAGGGCAGUAAGUUAAUACCUUGCUGUUUUGACGUUACCAACAGAAUAAGCACCGGCUAACUUCGUG